GACGAACGCUGGCGGCGUGCUUAACACAUGCAAGUCGAACGGAAAGGCCUGCUUUCCCUUGUGGAUUGCGGGUGCUCGAGUGGCGAACGGGUGAGUAACACGUGAGUGAUCUGCCCCCAACUUGGGUAUAAGCCUGGGAAACUGGGUCUAAUUCCCGAUAGGACUGCAGGGUGGUGCCUGUGGUGGAAAACGAUUUUCUAGUGGUUGGGGAUGAGCUCGCGGCCUAUCAGCUUGUUGGUGGGGUAAUGGCCUACCAAGGCGGCGACGGGUAGCCGGCCUGAGAGGGUGGACGGCCACAUUGGGACUGAGAUACGGCCCAGACUCCUACGGGAGGCAGCAGUGGGGAAUAUUGCACCAUGGGCGGAAGCCUGAUGCAGCGACGCCGCGUGGGGGAUGACGGCCUUCGGGUUGUAAACUCCUUUCGACCGCGAGGAAGCCACCUGGUUGGAAGGGUGGUGACGGUAGUGGUAGAAGAAGCACCGGCUAACUACGUG
rnacentral:rRNA from 1 species